rnacentral:rRNA from 1 species
GCUACGGGUGGCUGCAGUGGGGAAUAUUGGGCAAUGGGCGCAAGCCUGACCCAGCAACGCCGCGUGAAGGAAGAAGGCCCUCGGGUUGUAAACUUCUUUUAUCAAGGACGAAACAAAUGACGGUACUUGAUGAAUAAGCCACGGCUAACUACGUGCCAGCAGCCGCUGUAAUACGGAGGUCGCAAGCGUUAUCCGGAUUUACUGGGUGUAAAGGGCGUGUAGGCGGGACUGCAAGUCAGAUGUGCAAACCAGGGGCUCAACCCCUGGCCGGCAUGUGAAACUGUAGGUCUUGAGUGUUGGAGAGGAAGGCGGAAUGCGGGGUGUAGCGGUGAAAUGCGUAGAUAUAAGGAGGAACACCAGUGGCGAAGGCGGCCUGCUGGACAAUAACUGACGCUGAGGCGCGAAAGCGUGGGGAGCAAACAGGAUUAGAUACCCUGGUAGUC